rnacentral:rRNA from 1 species
GGAAAGGCGCGCGAUACAGGGUGACAGCCCCGUACACAAAAAUGCACAUGCUGUGAGCUCGAUGAGUAGGGCGGGACACGUGGUAUCCUGUCUGAAUAUGGGGGGACCAUCCUCCAAGGCUAAAUACUCCUGACUGACCGAUAGUGAACCAGUACCGUGAGGGAAAGGCGAAAAGAACCCCGGCGAGGGGAGUGAAAAAGAACCUGAAACCGUGUACGUACAAGCAGUGGGAGCACGCUUAGGCGUGUGACUGCGUACCUUUUGUAUAAUGGGUCAGCGACUUAUAUUCUGUAGCAAGGUUAACCGAAUAGGGGAGCCGAAGGGAAACCGAGUCUUAACUGGGCGUUAAGUUGCAGGGUAUAGACCCGAAACCCGGUGAUCUAGCCAUGGGCAGGUUGAAGGUUGGGUAACACUAACUGGAGGACCGAACCGACUAAUGUUGAAAAAUUAGCGGAUGACUUGUGGCUGGGGGUGAAAGGCCAAUCAAACCGGGAGAUAGCUGGUUCUCCCCGAAAGCUAUUUAGGUAGCGCCUCGUGAAUUCAUCUCCGGGGGUAGAGC